rnacentral:ncRNA from 1 species
CCUAACUGGUAUUUUGAAGAGUGGAAUGAGAGGGUAACGCCUUGAAACGCUCUCCCUGAAUUGCGGCAAAAGGAAUGGUGCGCAACCGCCAACCCUGAUGCAGCCCGCUGAAGUCGGCUGAAUGCACUCGCUGUGUACGUUAUUGGAAACAAGACGAUACGGCAAAAGCGAGCCAGAGGUGGCCGCGAGUGUUAGGCCGGGGGUCUAUAAA